GACGAACGCUGGCGGCGUGCUUAACACAUGCAAGUCGAACGGUGAAGCGCCUUCCUUUUUGGUGGGUGUGGAUGAGUGGCGAACGGGUGAGUAACACGUUAGUAACCUGCCCCCUUCUUCUGGAUAACCGCAUGAAAGUGUGGCUAAUACGGGAUAUUCUGGGUCUGUCGCAUGAUGGGUCUGGGAAAGAUAUUGUUUCGGUGGGGGAUGGGCUCGCGGCCUAUCAGCUUGUUGGUGGGGUGAUGGCCUACCAAGGCGGUGACGGGUAGCCGGCCUGAGAGGGUGGACGGUCACACUGGGACUGAGACACGGCCCAGACUCGUACGGGAGGCAGCAGUGGGGAAUAUUGCACAAUGGGCGCAAGCCUGAUGCAGCGACGCCGCGUGAGGGAUGGAGGCCUUCGGGUUGUGAACCUCUUUCGCCAGUGAAGCAGGCCUGCCUCGUUUGUGGGUGGGUUGACGGUAGCUGGAUAAGAAGCGCCGGCUAACUACGUG
rnacentral:rRNA from 1 species